rnacentral:rRNA from 1 species
AGUGAACGCUGGCGGUAGGCCUAACACAUGCAAGUCGAGCGGCAGCACAGUAAGAGCUUGCUCUUACGGGUGGCGAGUGGCGGACGGGUGAGGAAUACAUCGGAAUCUACUUUUUCGUGGGGGAUAACGUAGGGAAACUUACGCUAAUACCGCAUACGACCUACGGGUGAAUGCAGGGGAUCUUCGGACCUUGCGCGAUUGAAUGAGCCGAUGUCGGAUUAGCUAGUUGGCGGGGUAAAGGCCCACCAAGGCGACGAUCCGUAGCUGGUCUGAGAGGAUGAUCAGCCACACUGGAACUGAGACACGGUCCAGACGCCUACGGGAGGCAGCAGUGGGGAAUAUUGGGCAAUGGGCGCAAGCCUGAUCCAGCCAUGCCGCGUGAGUGAAGAAGGCCUUCGGGUUGUAAAACCCUUUUGUUGGGAAAGAAAAACAGCAGGAUAAUACCCCGCUGUUCUGACGGUACCCAAAGAAUAAGCACCGGCUAACUUCGUG